UACGAAGGGAGCUAGCGUUGCUCGGAAUCACUGGGCGUAAAGGGUGCGUAGGCGGGUCUUUAAGUCAGGGGUGAAAUCCUGGAGCUCAACUCCAGAACUGCCUUUGAUACUGAGGAUCUUGAGUUCGGGAGAGGUGAGUGGAACUGCGAGUGUAGAGGUGAAAUUCGUAGAUAUUCGCAAGAACACCAGUGGCGAAGGCGGCUCACUGGCCCGAUACUGACGCUGAGGCACGAAAGCGUGGGGAGCAAACAGG
rnacentral:rRNA from 1 species